rnacentral:rRNA from 1 species
ACUUAAAUUGAAGAGUUUGAUCAUGGCUCAGAUUGAACGCUGGCGGCAGGCCUAACACAUGCAAGUCGAGCGGUAGCACAGAGAGCUUGCUCUCGGGUGACGAGCGGCGGACGGGUGAGUAAUGUCUGGGAAACUGCCUGAUGGAGGGGGAUAACUACUGGAAACGGUAGCUAAUACCGCAUAAUGUCGCAAGACCAAAGUGGGGGACCUUCGGGCCUCAUGCCAUCAGAUGUGCCCAGAUGGGAUUAGCUAGUAGGUGGGGUAACGGCUCACCUAGGCGACGAUCCCUAGCUGGUCUGAGAGGAUGACCAGCCACACUGGAACUGAGACACGGUCCAGACUCCUACGGGAGGCAGCAGUGGGGAAUAUUGCACAAUGGGCGCAAGCCUGAUGCAGCCAUGCCGCGUGUGUGAAGAAGGCCUUCGGGUUGUAAAGCACUUUCAGCGGGGAGGAAGGCGGUGAGGUUAAUAACCUCAUCGAUUGACGUUACCCGCAGAAGAAGCAC